rnacentral:rRNA from 1 species
UCGGGAAUUUUGGGCAAUGGGCGAAAGCCUGACCCAGCAACGCCGCGUGAGGGAUGAAGUAUUUCGGUAUGUAAACCUCGAAAGAAUGGGAAGAAUAAAUGACGGUACCAUUUAUAAGCUCCGGCUAACUACGUGCCAGCAGCCGCGGUAAUACGUAGGGUGCGAGCGUUAAUCGGAAUUACUGGGCGUAAAGGGUGCGCAGGCGGUCUUGCAAGUCAGAUGUGAAAGCCCCGGGCUUAACCUGGGAAUUGCGUUUGAAACUACAAGACUAGAGUGCAGCAGAGGGGAGUGGAAUUCCAUGUGUAGCAGUGAAAUGCGUAGAGAUGUGGAAGAACACCGAUGGCGAAGGCAGCUCCCUGGGUUGACACUGACGCUCAUGCACGAAAGCGUGGGGAGCAAACA